UACGUAGGUGACAAGCGUUGUCCGGAGUUACUGGGCGUAAAGCGCGCGCAGGCGGCCGCCCUUGCCCGCCGUGAAAGCCCCCGGCUCAACCGGGGAGGGUCGGCGGGGACGGGGCGGCUUGGGGCCGGCAGGGGCCGGUGGAAUCCCCGGUGUAGUGGUGAAAUGCGUAGAGAUCGGGGGGAACACCCGUGGCGAAGGCGGCCGGCUGGGCCGGGCCCGACGCUGAGGCGCGAAGGCGUGGGGAGCGAACGGG
rnacentral:rRNA from 1 species